rnacentral:rRNA from 1 species
CCUACGGGAGGCAGCAGUGGGGAAUUUUGGACAAUGGGCGAAAGCCUGAUCCAGCAAUGCCGCGUGUGGGAAGAAGGCCUUCGGGUUGUAAACCUCUUUUGUACGGAACAAAACGGUUUGCCCUAAUACUGUGGGCUAAUGACCGUACCGUAAGAAUAAGCACCGGCUAACUACGUGCCAGCAGCCGCGGUAAU